UACGUAGGGUGCGAGCGUUGUCCGGAAUUAUUGGGCGUAAAGAGCUCGUAGGCGGUGUGUCACGUCGGCCGUGAAAACCUGCAGCUUAACUGUGGGCGUGCGGUCGAUACGGGCAUCACUGGAGUUCGGCAGGGGAGACUGGAAUUCCUGGUGUAGCGGUGAAAUGCGCAGAUAUCAGGAGGAACACCGGUGGCGAAGGCGGGUCCCUGGGCCGAUACUGACGCUGAGGAGCGAAAGCGUGGGGAGCAGACAGG
rnacentral:rRNA from 1 species